rnacentral:rRNA from 1 species
GGUAAACGCUGGCGGUAUGUCUAAUACAUGCAAGUCGAGCGCGAUCUUCGGAUCGAGCGGCGAACGGGUGCGUAACACGUUGGAACCUGCCCCAAACUCAGGGAUAACAUCUAGAAAUAGGUGCUAAUACCGGAUAGUCCCGAAAGGGUAAAGAUUUAUCGGUUUGGGAGGGUCCUGCGGCCUAUCAGCUUGUUGGUGAGGUAAUAGCUCACCAAGGCUAUGACGGGUAGCUGGUCUGAGAGGACGACCAGCCACAAUGGAACUGAGACACGGUCCAUACUCCUACGGGAGGCAGCAGUAAAGAAUCUUUCGCAAUGGAGGAAACUCUGACGAAGCAAUACCGCGUGGGCGAUGAAGGCCGAAAGGUUGUAAAGCCCUUUUCUGAGGGGAUAACUUUGAAGGUACCUCAGGAAUAAGCACCGGCUAACUCCGUG